GACGAACGCUGGCGGCGUGCUUAACACAUGCAAGUCGAACGGUAAGGCCCUUCGGGGUACACGAGUGGCGAACGGGUGAGUAACACGUGGGUGAUCUGCCCUGCACUUCGGGAUAAGCCUGGGAAACUGGGUCUAAUACCGGAUAGGACCACUGCCUGCAUGGGUGGUGGUGGAAAGCUUUUGCGGUGUGGGAUGGGCCCGCGGCCUAUCAGCUUGUUGGUGGGGUGAUGGCCUACCAAGGCGACGACGGGUAGCCGGCCUGAGAGGGUGACCGGCCACACGGGGACUGGGAUACGGCCCAGACUCCUACGGGGGGCAGCAGUGGGGAAUAUUGCACAAUGGGCGCAAGCCUGAUGCAGCGACGCCGCGUGAGGGAUGACGGCCUUCGGGUUGUAAACCUCUUUCAGCACCGACGAAGCGCAAGUGACGGUAGGUGCAGAAGAAGGACCGGCCAACUACAUGCCAGCCGCCGCGGUAA
rnacentral:rRNA from 1 species